rnacentral:lncRNA from 1 species
UUUUUUUUUUUUUUUUUUUGAGACAGGGUGUCCCUGUUCCAUCUUGGCUGGCCUGUGACUGAAUCAUGGAGGCCCUCCUGUGUCUGCCUUUCCAGUGCUGGGAUUAAAGUGUGCCCAGCCCUGUUUACUUAUGUGGAGCUGGCCUUUGUUAUAUUGCCUGAGUUAGUCAGGAAGAAGCUGCCUUGCUUUCUGUAGCUCUCUGAGAAACUGUCACUGUCCUAUUUUACUGUAAGUGUGAGAAGGCAGACAGUAGAUAAAAUGCCAUUUAUGGCAUAUAACAUGCCAGUAUGCAAUGCUGUUUCUAUACAGCAAAGCCCAGUGAUCACUCUGCUGUGCUGCUUCCCCUUGCUGCCCGUGUUUGCUCACUAUGUCAUCGAGCCUGACAUCAGAUUUAUUCUGUAGUCUAGCCUGGGCUUGAACUUGUGGUGAUCCUCCUGCCCCAGCCUCCUGAGUACUAAAAUUGCAGGCAUGCGCCACUACACCCAGCUUCUGUAGUGCUUCUAACUUUUAUUUGUUUUGUUUUGUGCAUACCGUGAAUCACUGGCUCCUCCAAUAAAUUUAGGCCUGAGUCGUCCUUUAUGGCAGCUGCAAUUCUUUGUUAUAAAUACUGGUUGGAUCUUCCUAGCUGCACCUUGUAUACUCUAUGAGUAUUUCCUUAGUAGUCACUUCCUAGGGAUGGAAGAAAGUGCUGAGUCCAAGGUCUUUGCACAUUGAACAUGUUAAUAUAUGUUGCCAUGUUCCUGAAGAAAACAUUUCAACUCCUAUCAGUAAUGACCAGUUCUGUUAAUGCAUAGUACCCAUCUGACAAAUCGAAACGCCACCCCUCCUGUAGAUUACUGGGUUGGGUCCCUAGCACUGCCAAAACAAAGCAGUAGACUGGUAGGUAAAUUUUAACACCCAAGGUAAUUUGCAUUUCCUUGGAUUAACUUGUAUUUAUUAAUUUGUAUUUAAAAUUAAGUUUGUAGGCAGGAGAAUUGCAGUGAAUGUCAGGCCAGCCUAGGCUAUAAAGUUUCAGUCUACCAUGAGGUACAGAUGGAGACCCUAUAUAAAAAAAAAAGGGGGGGGUAGGGUGGAGUUGACAAAGAGAUGGCUCAAUGGCUAAACAAACUCAACUUGUGAUUUUUCUAAUUGGUUUAUAAAGUGAUAUGGACUGGCUUAGUUAACCCAAUACCUCUCAGUGAAUAGUCUCCUUUUGCUUUUGAUUUAGAUGUCAGAUUUGUAAUCUGAUAUUUCUUUCUCUCUCUCUCUCUCUCUCUCUCUCUCUCUCUCUCUCUCUCUCUCUCUCUCUCUCUCUCCGGCCGGUGUGCCAACUGGAGGUUUUAUUUUGUUGGUUUUAAAAGCAAGGUCAGCUUGGUUGGCCUGAAGCUCACUGUAGCCCAGGCUGCCUCUGCCUUCUAAUUGCUGGGCUUUAUUUCUGAACUCUCUCACUGGUUUGCCCAGCCCAGCUGUAAUCACAGUCGUCUUAUUGCCAGGCAUGGCAGCAUGUGCCUGUGGGAGAGGCUAAGGUGAGAGGAUUACAUGAUCCCAGGAACCCAAGAGUUUGACAGAAGCCUGGGCACCAUCAUGAGACCCUCAUAUUGAAAAUAUGAUUUGGGCGUAUGAGCUGUCUCUUGUUUUACAAGCCUGACCUACCUGAGGUAGAACCCUAGAAGCCACAUAAAUAUGGAAAGAGAACCAACUCCACAGAGUUAUCCUCCAACCUCCUGCAUGUACUGUGGUAUACCCUCUCCACCCCCAACAUACAUACACCCGUAACAAUAAUAAGUGACAUUAUUAAGGUAUAUACAUAAAAUUAAUUAGAUUAAAUUAAGGGCUUCUUUUAGUAUUCCUUUCUGUUGUGACUGACCAGUUUCUGUCUUGGCAUGGGUGUCUCAGGCCAGCCCCAAGCUAUGGAUAAAGUGAUCUCUAAUGUUUGAAUGGCUAAGGUGAGAGGGUUGUGAACUGAAGACCUUUCUGUGGAACCACAGAUGGCUCUCAAGCUCCCAUAGCCUGUGGGACAGCCUGAGCUCCUGGGCAGUUGGGUGACUGAUUCUCUUGUCUCUUCUCUGGGGGAAUAGGGAUGUGGCCACGUCUCUCCCUCGCCUGCCCACUCACGUGGCUCCUCUCAGUGCUCAGCAACCCCACUUUUUCUUUGUUAUUUAUUAGGAUUAAUUAUGAUUAUUUUACAUAGGCUCUCACUUGGGCCCUUGUGUUUGCUUCAGUGCAAGCAGUUUACCACCUGCACCAUCUCCCAGCCUCCCACUGCCUUCCUACGGCCUAGGAAACCCAGCAUGACUGAGCACAGCCUACCCAGCAACUACAGCCUUGUGGUCUCCUAGCCUCUGCCAGGUCACUCGCCCAGCCUGGGAGGAGCAUGGUCACCACGUAGAUGAAGCUAUGAUAGUGGAUGAAUGGCCCCAGUCUUCCCAGGCUGGAAGGCAAGGAGUUUGUCCCACUCUGGCUCAGGCCUCUCCCACCCCUAAGAGCUGGGAAGGGCGGCUGCUCCUCCUGCUGGCUGAGGUCAGCACUAUUAAUAGCCAGCUUAAUCCUGCUCAGGCCUGGGGAGAGGGAGGAAAAGGAGCCGGUUGCCAGGAAGUCAGAGUGUCCAGCCAUCUGUAGGUGCAGACCGGUGACCCAAGGUGUGGUGUCCAGUCACCAAGUUAACAUCCAGGACCCGUUGCGGGAACUUGGGAUUUUGCCUUAUUGGGUGGCCCAGUGAGGAGGUCGCCUAGGAUGCCACCAUCUCUGAUAGUAAGAUCCCUUGUCUGGUCCAGGGUUUCUUCCCAGGGGAAAAGUAGCUAGACUGAUGGGGGCCUUUGGACUUUGAAACCCAGAACCCAGUAGCACAUUUCCUUAUAGUCUUUAAUGGAUUGU